ensembl:lncRNA
CCCAGUAAUAGCAGAAAUCAAUAAAACUGAGAAAAGGAAACAGAAAAAUCAAUAAGAUAAAAAUUAUUUUCUAGGAAGGCCUUACUUUUGAUAAUCCUCUAGCUAAAACUAAAAUACACCCUGUAUUAGUGGAACAGAAGUCUAAAUGCAGAAAUUAUACCAAAUGAAUCUGAAAUUCAAUGUGAGUCUUAUUAAUAUCCUAGCUUGCUCUUUCACAGAUUUGAUAGCUGAUCAUACAUACAUAAUAUGUCAAGCAUCAGAUCCACAGGCAGCCUAGGGCGUUUCAUUCUUAGUUAUGGGAAUGAACAAAUGAAUAAGUCAUGUUGUAAAUAUUAUUGUUAGAUAAUAUUUACUAAUAAAUAAAUUUAAUAAUCAAAUUUGCCAAUCUCCCAAUCUCGCUUCCAAAAUCAUAAUAUAAAAACCAACAAAUCUGAGUGUGCUUAACAGAGGACGUUUAUUAUUUUCUGCAGUAGCUCAAAAGUAAAACAUAUGGAAGCAGUCUUUCAGAAAUGAAACUUCCAGACAUUUGGGAUGGUUAUUGCUUACAAUUCUUUAUAAGUAAUGGCAAAAUGAUCUUCAAACUCAUAUCAGUGUGUUGUCUUCAUGAGAUUUAUAGAAGCAAAUUACAAUUCAGUUUUAGUAUCUGGAACAAUUUCUAUAUUAAGGCAUUCCCAGGAAUUGGAAAACUGAGAAGUUGAGGUAACCCAGAAGGCUGUUACCAUGUCACCAGUUAAAACUCCCAUGCCUCUUCUGUCUCCAUCACAUGACAGAGAGUGAACAGUGAAAGAGAAAUAAUUUCAUAAUAAUAAUAAUAAAAACAACUCACCAGACACUAAUUUACUUAGGUGAUUUUUCAAGGCAUGUUGGUAAAGUUACAAAGUUUUUGAGGAGCAGAAGUAGAUACAGGAGUUAAGGCUCAAGAUCAUGCAUUCAUUACAAAAUACAAUCUCUAGGACAUAAGGGCAUUGAGUGUCAUAAAACACACUUAAACUUGUUAUGUAAGUCAACAGAAUAUGCAUUGUUUUCUAAUUCUGGAGGACUUCAUAGGCACAGUGAAAUCAGUUUUCAUACAAAUGGAGUAAAUUAUCAGACUCUCAAAUUACAUGGAGGCAAGUAAACAAUCUUAUGAAUAAACCAUAAUCAACUAUGUAUAUUAGUAAUAAUGUCAGUAGUGAAAAAUUAAUGUCAGUUAUUUUACAGAUUCCCAAAUAUAAAACAUUUACAUGAGCAUUUAUAUGCAUUGCAAGCUAUAAGACAAAUAAGAAGGGAAAAGAUAAAUGAGCAACUAAAAUUAAUUUGCAUAUAAUGAUGCUAUAAAAUAGCAAUUUACUUUUGCCUGUUAAUUCAUAGUCCUUAUUGUUUUAAGGAUUCCUUUACUUUUUAAGACAAAAGAAAUACAAAGUGCAAAGAAAACUUUCAAGUGACCAGUUUCCUAAUUAAGGGUCAGGGCACUGAAAAUCCUUACACAUGCUAGUUGCCUUCAAUUCUUCUAAUUUAUAUGAUAACAUGCAUCCGCUAUGGAUAAAUGGUAAAAAAUACAUCAGCUUUUUAUAAUAAGUUGAAGCUUUAGCCCAUUAACAUUUAUUUCUACUAUAUCCAUUUAGUAAAUAUGUACUUUUAAAAAAGUAUAAAUGUGAAGAAAAUACAGAAAAUGUAGGCUCAAAGUGUGGUUUUUCUAUGCUUUCUUGCUCUCUGGUUCUAAUCUGCUGCUGAGCUGGACCUCAUGCAGAGCUUGCUAGAGUGAUGAGAAGCCAGGAACCUAGGAGCAAGGAAGCAAAGUCGACAUCCACUAUCCAAAACUAAAUAAUGUCAACAUCCAUUAUCCUAAAUUAAGCAAUGGCUGUGAAA